UUUGGAGUGUCUUCUUCUACACACGAAUUGGAACAAUGGCAGCAUUUCAUCUUGAUUUCUGCAGUGAUGUGGAAGACUGCGCUCUUUUGUUCAGUUGAUUUCCGUUGGCAGACGUUACGGGUGAAAAGAACCGAAAACACACAUGCAGAAUAGUUGACAAGACACAGACGAGUUUUCUCCAAGCACUUGGAAGCAUCUCCUUCUAAUUUU